GGGCCGUUAGCUCAGUUGGUUAGAGCAGAGGACUCAUAAUCCUUUGGUCCCAGGUUCAAGUCCUGGACGGCCUACCA
rnacentral:tRNA from 1 species